GGUGUGGGCUGCUGCCCCGUGGGGCCUCUGAACAGACCCCAGGGCCUCUGCCAAUCAUGACUCCUUGCUUUCAGCUGGACCCACAGGCCCUGCAGGACAGAGACUGGCAGCGUGCUGUCAUCGCCAUGAAUGGGAUUGAAGUAAAGCUCUCGAUCAAGUUCAACAGCAGGGAGUUCAGCUUGAAGAGGAUGCCGUCCCGAAAACAGACAGGGGUCUUCGGAGUCAAGAUUGCUGUGGUCACCAAGUGCACAUGCAAUGAGGACAGAGCUUGCAGAGGGAGCACAGGCAUGCACAAGGCUCUGUGUGCAGCCCCAGACCUGGGUACCUUCGUUACCAUCCUCACCUCACCUCCGGGUGUGCAGAUAGAAGGCAGCCUUCGACGUCAGUGUCGGCCUGCACAGGACGGGAUGGAGGUGUGGGUGGUGGUGUCCGUGAUGAUAUCUCAGAGCACUCCAUGGCCCUGGUAUGUCACAUCUUUCUUUUCGUCUUUUCUUCAUUUACUGUUUUAUUUUUUUUUUAGAAAAACAAGAGUUGUAGAAAAAGCUUGUAGAGAAGCCAGUUUUUACACCAUCGUACCCACUCAUGCCACUUGCUGGGGUGAACCAGGGGCUUCUGUGGGGCCUUGGCCUUCCUGCCUUGGGGGUGGACAGGAGGUGGAAGCCCAGGACUCAGUGCGGUCUGUCCACUGCCCUGUGUGAGGAUGUGGCGGGCAGAGGACACUGAUGGGACCCAGCUCACACUGGGGCUGCAGCAUUUCUGCCUCCAUCUCACCAACCCUCACAGGCUUUGA